rnacentral:rRNA from 1 species
AGCGAACGCUGGCGGCGUGCUUAACACAUGCAAGUCGAGUGCGCGUCUGUAGCAAUACAGAUGGCGCACGGCGCACGGGUGCGUAACACGUGGGUAAUCUGCCCUUCGAAGGGGAAUAACUCGCCGAAAGGCGAGCUAAUUCCGCAUAACAUUCCGAGAACUUUGGUUUUUGGAUUCAAAGGCGUAAGUCGUCGGAGGAGGAGCCCGCGCACGAUUAGCUAGUUGGUAGGGUAACGGCCUACCAAGGCUAUGAUCGUUAGCUGGUCUGAG